AUUUGCUUUCCACUUUCACAGAUUCUAUUCAAGUUUCAUCUAUCCUGAAAAAAACAUUCUUUAAACUUCUGAAGAAAUAUCGUCUGUCUAGACAAGAAAAAAUUUAGACAAGAGAAGCUCGAGAAGCGAUUGGGAUUAUGUUGUGAGCCAUAAGUACCAACCAAAGAACUAAUAAAGACAGACUGAACAUUUUUUUUCUCAUAUUUUACUGAGAAAUUGAUACGAAACAACACCGUCAAGAUAUAUCUCCAGGAACCAAAAUCCUCACAACUAAGUCAAGACAACAAGUUGACUUUGGAAAAGUCAGCAUUUUCGAUUAUGCCAAACAUCGGUUAACCAAGAAGACAGAAUAGCAUGGAGAUUUUGUCAUGGUGAAGUUUCCCAAUCUGUGAUUUUGAGUGUACACUUUUUUAAAUGUUUAAUGUCAACAACAUACUAGGUUCAAGUACCGAAGUUCCUAUGUACCUGUCGAAUUAGUAAACUUCUACACUAAAUCUGAAGUGCAACCUAAAAUGAACUGAACUGAAUUCAAAUCAAUGAAAUGUUAAAUACUGUUGUAAAAGUUUGAUCUUCGCUUUUCCUUUUUGUGCUUUUUCACUAUUCCUCAUGAUUGUUGUCUGGAAUCCUUAAGAUGUUACGCAUGGUUUUGUCGUAAUAAAUUUAUUUUGUGGUUUUGUUGUU